UACGAAGGGGGCUAGCGUUGCUCGGAAUCACUGGGCGUAAAGGGUGCGUAGGCGGGUUUUUAAGUCAGGGGUGAAAUCCUGGAGCUCAACUCCAGAACUGCCUUUGAUACUGAAGAUCUUGAGUCCGGGAGAGGUGAGUGGAACUGCGAGUGUAGAGGUGAAAUCCGUAGAUAUUCGCAAGAACACCAGUGGCGAAGGCGGCUCACUGGCUCGGUACUGACGCUGAGGUGCGAAAGCGUGGGGAGCAAACAGG
rnacentral:rRNA from 1 species